GUCCUAGAAGAUGAGGGAUAGUUUCACUAACACUGGGCAUUUCUUAACUUUUUAUGAAUUGUAUUUUUCUUUUUCUUUUUAAUGCUUAUUUAUUUAUUUUGACAGAGAGAGAGAGAGAGAGAACAAGCAGGGAAGGAGCAGAGAGAGGGGAGAGAGAGAAUCCCAAGCAGGCUCUGUACAGAGCCCGAGGUUGGAGUCCACCUCCCGAACAGGGUGCAAGUGAGCGAGGAGCAGAGAGAGAGAGAGAGAGAGAGAGAGAGAGAGAGAAGCGGAGCUCACAGGAAGCGGGGCUCGUGUGUACCCAAACUGGGACUCGUGCUUAACUUGAUGCUGGGCUCGAGCUCACCUGAUGCGGGACUCCAACUCACAAACUGAAGCUGAUUUCAGUUCAGUUGCUUGGAUGUGGGUUUCAACACCAUGAUGAGUUAACUUCUGAAUAGGAAAUUUGAAAAUACAGUCUUUGUUCCAUCUUGAAAAAUUUAAUGAAAAUGUAUCUACUAGAUAUUAAAUUGUUUCCCUGCUGCAAA